UGCGUAGGCGGCAUAGCAAGUCAGAUGUGAAAUCCCCGGGCUUAACUCGGGUGGUGCAUUUGAAACUGCUGAGCUUGAGUGCAGGAGAGGAAAGCGGAAUUCCUAGUGUAGCGGUGAAAUGCGUAGAUACUAGGAGGAACACCAGUGGCGAAGGCGGCUUUCUGGACUGUAACUGACGCUGAGGCACGAAAGCGUGGGGAGCAAACAGGAUUAGAUACCCUGGUAGUCCACGCUGUAAACGAUGGAUACUAGGUGUGGGGGACAUACAACCUCCGUGCCGGAGCUAACGCAAUAAGUAUCCCGCCUGGGGAGUACGGUCGCAAGGCUGA
rnacentral:rRNA from 1 species